GUUUCUCUCCAAAUAUGUAAUUACAAAUAUUUUGUAUGGAAGAUCUCGAAUUUGGUACUCCGACUCGGUGCGAAACUUGCAGUUUUUGAUUGUUUCUGAGUGCAUAAUGGAUGCUUCUGGCCUCUUAUUCCUUAUUUUAGAUCCCACUUUGGUCGUGCGGGAAGAGGAUGAUCCACUACGGAGUAUUCUGUAUUACUAUCCUCCGACGCCGACGACACCGGUGGAUGCGCAGUGCGCGUGGAGCAGUCAGCUGAUUGGUGUGUUUACGUUUUGGAAACAGUCGUUGAAAUCCCAGUUGCGUUACGUGCGCAUUGAUGGUUAUACGCUGGCAUUCGAGGAAUACAGUAGUCGUUUCCUCUUUAUUUUGGGUUGGAAAAUGGAUGACGCAAUGGCGCAGUCGGUUAUCGUGACUGCGCUGGAAGAACACCUUCGAUUUUUGGUUCGGGCAUUCUGUUUUUACGUUGAGAUGCCUCGUUCACUUGCCGAAAACGAAGUGAACGUUUACAGUAUCGUUCUGGAAAGCAUUUUAAAAAUCUGUAGUCUCCGCUGCAGCGAUCUUUCUCUGUUCCGGGAUUUUUCCGCAGUGUUUAAGGAAGCUUCACAUAUUAAAAUGACGGGCCAAUUGUGCCUCAACAAAUGCCACUCCGGACAAGGCCUGCACUCGGCAAAAAUUCUGGCAGCGCUUUUAAUUUACCGAGCGGAUGUAAUUGCUAAAGAAAUCCCAGAGUUUUUGCCUGGAUAUAAUUUGCUUAUGUUGGUGGGAGCAUUAAUGGAUGAUUCAGCCUCUCGCCUCCCUGGUUCAGAUCUUAGCGUGGAUGCAAAUGGGAUUUAUCUGCAGUGUAGUGUAUUUUCCGUCAACAUGCCUGUUGAACAGUAUGAAAUGUUCGUCCUGGAUUAUAAUCUACGUAGAGCGGUGAGAUCCAUUAAAAGCCACCAAAAUGCCAAAACGGAAGCUCCUUUAAAUCAUGCGAACAAGUACGAUGUUCAACGGGAAUUGCGAGAUUUAGGAGGAAAAUAUGGAGGUGACCGAAUCCGAUUGUCCUUACUCGUGCUCAGGCUGUACGACACGAAACUGGUGUUGCUGGUCGAAGACGCUGAAAAUCAUAGCCACAAUGCAUUUGUGACCUACGUGCUGCAGAAAACGUUGCCUUUUCUGGAAAUCCUAAAUGCCGCUGCAGUUGACUAUCUCUUUUCCCAGUCCGAAAGGGUUACGAGAGAUAUGCGCGCGAAAAACUUGCAGGACCGAAAAGUAUUUACCUUUGAUCUGAGCUACCGGCAUUUUCUCAGUCUUCCUGACGACGAAGAAGAACUGCUGACUGUAUUCGAAGGUUUGAUGCGGUUCUUUCAGGAAACUGGGACUGAAGGACGACAUCGUUUAAGCUUCACGAACCACGACUUAUACUGUACGGUACAUGGAAGCGAAGGCGAGAAAUUUGUUCAGUUUGAGUUGGAUCGAACACGACGUUAGGAUCACACACAGGAGAGUUAUGAGAAAUCCCGAAGUGCUUUUGAGUUUGGCACAAGCCGCCGGCGUUAGCGAUGAUAUGUGGAAUUUUAUGCUGCCGGUUUCUGGACUAAAAUGUUGCCAGUAUCUUGACCACUAAUGUCAACAAAUGCCGCACGUUAAGGAGCGAUUUUAUUUCGCCUGCAACGGAUGCCAGAUGUGUAAACGGUGAACAAAUCGUCAGCGACAAGAAAUUACACCGCUUCUGAUGUGGUAUGCUGACCAAAGAACGAAGACGACAGACAGAUGAUAACUGUUUGCAGCUACAUUACUUCGAGGGAAAGGAAUGCGAGACCGGCGAAUA